UACGGAGGGGGCUAGCGUUGUUCGGAAUUACUGGGCGUAAAGCGCGCGUAGGCGGACCUGCAAGUCGAGGGUGAAAGCCCGAGGCUCAACCUCGAGACGCCGAUGGAAACCAUGUGGCUAGAGUCCGGAAGAGGAGAGUGGAAUUCCUGGUGUAGCGGUGAAAUGCGCAGAUAUCAGGAAGAACACCCGUGGCUAAGGCGGCUCUCUAGUACGGUACUGACGCUGAGACGCGAAAGCGUGGGGAGCGAACAGG
rnacentral:rRNA from 1 species